CAGUAGCCGCGGGAAUACGAAGGGUGCAAGCGUUGAUCGGAAUUACUUGGCGUAAAGCGUGCGUAGGCGGUGAGUUAAGUCUGCUGUGAAAUCCCCGGGCUCAACCUGGGAAUGGCAGUGGAUACUGGCUCGCUAGAGUGUGUCAGAGGAUGGUGGAAUUCCCGGUGUAGCGGUGAAAUGCGUAGAGAUCGGGAGGAACAUCAGUGGCGAAGGCGGCCAUCUGGGACAACACUGACGCUGAGGCACGAAAGCGUGGGGAGCAAACAGGAUUAGAUACCCGCGUAGUCCCUGUCUCUUAUAC
rnacentral:rRNA from 1 species